rnacentral:rRNA from 1 species
ACACGAACCGUCCGAACGUUAUUCGGAAUCACUGGGCUUAAAGGGUGCGUAGGCGGCUUAGUAGGUGGGGUGUGAAAGCCCUCGGCUCAACCGAGGAAUUGCGCCCCAAACCACUAGGCUUGAGGGAGACAGAGGUAAGCGGAACUGAUGGUGGAGCGGUGAAAUGCGUUGAUAUCAUCAGGAACACCGGUGGCAAAAGCGGCUUACUGGGUCUCUUCUGACGCUGAGGCACGAAAGCUAGGGUAGCGAACGGGAUUAGAAACCCCAGUAGUCC